rnacentral:rRNA from 1 species
UACGGAGGAUUCGAGCGUUGUCCGGAUUUAUUGGGUUUAAAGGGUGCGUAGGCGGAUUUUUAAGUCAGUGGUGAAAGCCUGCAGCUCAACUGUAGAAUUGCCAUUGAAACUGAAAAUCUUGAAUUUGGUUAAAGUAGGCGGAAUGUAUCAUGUAGCGGUGAAAUGCUUAGAUAUGAUACAGAACACCGAUAGCGAAGGCAGCUUGCUGAACCAAUAUUGACGCUGAGGCACGAAAGCGUGGGGAGCAAAC